UACGUAGGGGGCAAGCGUUGUUCGGAUUUAUUGGGCGUAAAGAGCGUGUAGGCGGCUUCACAGGUCCGCUGUGAAAACUCGAGGCUCAACCUCGAGCUGUCGGUGGAAACUGUGUAGCUAGAGUCCGGAAGAGGAGAGUGGAAUUCCCGGUGUAGCGGUGAAAUGCGCAGAUAUCGGGAAGAACACCCGUGGCGAAGGCGGCUCUCUGGGACGGUACUGACGCUGAGACGCGAAAGCGUGGGGAGCGAACAGG
rnacentral:rRNA from 1 species